rnacentral:lncRNA from 10 species
CAGCCAUGCAGAACUGUGAGUCAAUUAAACCUCUUUUCUUUAUAGGCUACUAAUAAUUGGAUUCAGUUUGACUUAUUUAUUUAAUAUUCACUCUGUUCUCUUUUUCAGGCACAAGUACCAGUGAGACCUGGGGAUCUUCAUUUGAUUUUGUCUACUGGGUGAGGCUGUGUUGAAAACACUUUGACAGAGGGCUCUUCUCUUGGGGCUCAUCAAAUAUUGCUGGUAGAGGGUUUGCUUGCUUUAAAUAUUCCUUUCCUCAGGUAACGAAGAAUACCAUGUAAUUUGUAAUGAUAACUUGGAUAAUGAAUGCACACUGUAGUCAGCCAUUUGUGAGGGUGUUGUUAAAGGAGAUUAACAUUUGAGUCAGUGGGCUGGAAAAGGCUGACCCACCCUCGAACUGGGUGGGCAUCACCUAAUCAGCUGCUAGUGCAGCUAGACUAUAAAGUAGACAAAAAAACGUGAAAAGACUGGACUGACCCAGCCUCCCAACCCACUUUUGCUUAGUUACAUUCUUAAAACUCCCAAUCAUAAACAAGAAAUACAUGUAAUUAAAAUUUAGAUAAUAAUAUUUAAGACGGUUGUUAUAAAGAACAACUAUAUUACAUAAAAUAUUAAAUUAUACAUUAUUAGAUAAAUACAUUUUUAUUAUGUCAAUCAGGAUUUAGAUUUAUCACUAUUACCUACUCAAAAAUAUAUUUGCUUUUAUUUAUGUUUACACAAACCAGUUGCUUUUAUCACUUUAUCUAAAAUAAAAUUAUUUUGUGGAAUUUUGGAAACUUACGUGUUCAUCUAUGUCCCUGAAUCCUGAUUAUUGAAUGCAUUUAGUGAAAAGAAGCUCAUUAUGGCAUGGGAGGGCUUACUCCAUCUUAAUAACCCAUCAGUGCCUUCUUUUGUUUCUUUUUUCUUAAGAAAAAUAAAUUUUAAUAUAAAAUAUCUUGAAAAAAUAUGCUUUUUCUUUGGAAAAUUAUUAUAUUUCAGCAUUUUUCUCAUGUGAAUACAGGCAUUCUUUGACACUGGUAAUGUUAAGAUCUACUUUACCAUAAAUACACAACUGCCCUUACUUUAAUUUGAAUUGUCCAAUAAAAUUGAAUUUCCUAUUUUGAUUAUAUCUCAUGCAUAACGUUUUUCCAUAGCCAUGCCCGCAGAGCAAUGUGACCCUAUUCAUCUUAUGAUUUUAGACUAAAAAAACUUUGCUGCAGAUCAAUUAUUUUUUCUUAAGAGAGUUUAUUAACACUUCUCCUCCACCUCUUCCUCCUCCUUCUUCUCCUUUUUCUCCUCCUUCUUUUUCUUUCUUCAUCUUGUUCUUAACCAAUAUCAGACCCUCAUCUUUUAUGUUGCCUGUGUUCACUCUGAGCAUGGUGAUACUGGGUUUGGGAUACAGACACACUAGGUAUAGAGAAGAGUAAUGGUGAAAUUAUAGAACAAUUCUAGAAAAGGAAACCCUGGGAAUUAAGCUAUUAAUGUCAGAGCUGGGCUUUAAUUUUUGACAUCAUUUGUUCAUUUAAUUAAACACAUGUACCUUUGUUCUAUAAUCCCUAGUAUUACCAUAAUAAAAUAUAAUAAAAGGCCUAUGAGUUCUAUACAAAUUUUCCUUAUAUCAUCAACACAUAUAAUUAGGAAUGGUCCCAAAGACAACAGAAGAGGGGCUACACAUGGGGAAAAAAACAAAAACAAAAACAAAAACAAAACAACAGUGUUAGAGGAAUGGACCCAGGGAGGUCCUCACUUGGUUUCAGCAUGAGUACAUUGUGGUAGGCCGUGCUCUAUAAAGACUUUGUGAGCCUAUGUUUUUGUCAGUAGAAUAUGUAUUUUUUACAUUUCUACUUCAAAACAAAAUCAUAGGCAUUGGGCUGCCAGGCAAAUGUUUGAUGUCUAUGACAUCCAAACUAUACACCUGACCACUAAUUUUUGCCCAGGUGGCAUUGGUAUCUCCUUGGUUUUAACCACUUAAACUAGCAAAAUAAAAAAAAUUUUUAAAAAAAGAAAAGUGUAUUGUUCAUUGUUUAAUACUGAGAGUGAAGUUUAGUUGUUUAUUUAUUUUCUUUUCCUUUUUGGGAGGUGGGGUCUAUUGCAGAUUUUCACAUCUUUCUCUCACUGUCCUCACACCUCUUUUUUAAAAUGGGAAAAAUAUAUAAAUGCAUAAAUCAGUAGGCGCUGACUGCCUCCAUCUUCACGACCAUCAGUGACUGCUCUGGGUUGAUCACAGUAUCACUAUUUGUAUCCACUGUGAAUGUGCUUUUUCUUGGUUCAGAAGGAACCAAAUAGUUAAUUCAUGGCAUGAUUAUAGCCAACAGAACUCCCUGGUUGUUGUUGUUAUUGUUAAUACUAAAACUAAAUACAACUCUUAAGGAGUAGAAUAUUCCAAAAGGAUUGGUGAAAAUUUUUUGUAGUUUUAUUUUCUUAAUUUUUCUUGCCUAAUUAUACAAGGCAAGAAUUACCAGUAUAAAAUUCACUUUUUUUUUUUUUUUUUUUGUCUCGUAACAAUUUUGUGUCUGGAAGGAUUUCAGAAAGAAACAAGGAACUGAACUGAAACAAAGGUAUUGUGGCUUUGGGGAGCAUUCAAGAACUCUGAAUCCCAUCAUUUGGACGUUGUCUUAUUCUGAGUGUGCAUGAGGCUAACCCUGUUCCAUGGCUGAACGCUGGUCUUAGAAAUACUUACAUAC